UACGUAGGGUGCAAGCGUUAAUCGGAAUUACUGGGCGUAAAGCGUGCGCAGGCGGCUUUGCAAGACAGAUGUGAAAUCCCCGGGCUCAACCUGGGAACUGCAUUUGUGACUGCAUGGCUAGAGUACGGUAGAGGGGGAUGGAAUUCCGCGUGUAGCAGUGAAAUGCGUAGAUAUGCGGAGGAACACCGAUGGCGAAGGCAAUCCCCUGGACCUGUACUGACGCUGAGGAGCGAAAGCGUGGGGAGCAAACAGG
rnacentral:rRNA from 1 species